rnacentral:misc_RNA from 1 species
GUGAACCCUACCAGCUUCCCAAUAAUUAUCAAGUUGGCAUUUCCUAUAUCUUUUUUGUCCUUGCUCUAUGGAUUACUGUUGUCUCAGAACUGUUUGCAAGCAAAGUUUGUCUACCACAUUUUUAAACUUCAUUUUAUUGAUUGUUCUGUGCAAUCCCAAGUACGUCUUGAAAAAGCUGCUUUGACUGACGAAAGAAAAGAAAAAUCCUGUUGUGAUGCUGCAUGUAUGCAGAAUAUUACCAACAUUCGGUAAACAAGAUAUCACGAAUGGAAAAAAACAAACACUGUAGAUUGCUUAAAGCUUUAAACUGUAAAUAGUACAUGCACCUGAAUACGAUGUACAUGGUAUUCUUUUCUAUGUCAGUGCUUGUUAUAUACAGAGUACUUCAUAGGUAGCUCCUGCAAAAUGAAGAGACCAGGUAGAUUUGACAUUUGUAGAUUGUUAAGAGAUACUUAUAUAUAUUAUGUGCAAGUAAUUUCACUUUUUGUUCCAUUGCAUACAUGUACUGUAAUGUGUAUAGCUGUUUUUAAUGCCUUUACUUUUGUUGUUUUUACAUUUGUUAAAAUUCUAUGAAGUUUUAUAAAAAUAUGACAGUUUCUAGAAAUAAAAUGUUAAAAUAAUU